AUGGCGCUCGCCGCUCGCCUCGUAUCCCGCUCCCGCCAGUUAUAUUCUGUCCAAGCUGCUUUGGCCAAUGGAGGUCUCACUCAAGUCCGCUCAUUUGCCAAGGAGGCAGCUCCUGUCAGCGGAGAUGACCUAUUGAAGGGCAUCUUUUUUGAGGUGAAGAAAAAGUUUGAGACCGCACUUGGGGUCCUUAAGAAGGAGAAGAUCACGAUUGACCCAGAUGACCAAACAGCAGUUGCUAACUAUGCCCAAGUCAUGAGGACUGUAAGAGAAAAGGCAGAUCUUCUUUCUGAUUCUCAGAGAAUUAAAUAUACUAUUGAGACUUUCACGAAGGGCAUCCCUGAUGCAAGGACGUACUUGGAUACCCUUCAGCAGCUCAGGAAAAAGAGUGGUCUCAUAGAUGAUAUGGGUAUUGAGGAUAUGAUGAUGGAAGCUCUCGAGAAAGUUGAGAAGGACAUUAAGAAACCUCUUCUGAGGAGUGACAAGAAGAACAUGGGUCUCCUCUUGGCAGAGUUUGACAAGAUUAACAAAAAGCUUGGCAUUCGGAAGGAGGAUCUUCCCAAGAUUGAGGAAAAUCUUGAAAUGGAACUUGCCAAAGCUGAGCUGACGGAACUUAAGAAGGAAGUUGUUGAAGCAAUGGAGGGCCAACUAAAGAGGGAGGAGUUUAAAGAUGAGGCGAUGCCUGACGUCAGGAAGUUGGACAUUAGAAACUUCCUCUAG
rnacentral:rRNA from 1 species